ACACGGGAAACCAAAAUGCAGAUAACUCAAUCUCUAGUUUAACCUGCGAUAGGGAGGAAGAAAGGAGCUUGAAGCUUUGGCAUUUCACCCAAUUGACUUCCAUACCCCUGACCUUUAUUCUCCAUUCACUCCAUGGAUCGGCAAAAUUGCAGCACAAUCAAGUAGCACUUGCUGUAUCGCGACGCGUUCAUCUACAAAAUUGGUUUGGGUCGAACAUCGUGGUUGCCGUUGGUGGUCGUCUGAAUUAUAAUUUCAUAAUGGGCUUAACCAAUUUCUAUGUAUAAAUGAUUUAGUCGCUACUCGGAGACUCCGCCGAAUCGAAUUUCGUGAUUCAUUCGUCAACGGGAUGGAGACUGUUGGAACUCAUGUUGCGAAUUCGGAAUUGAAGUCCAGUCAUCGUGAUCACGUUUCGCAUCUUUCUCUUGAUAUAGGAGGUUCUCUAAUAAAGAUGGUUUACUUCUCAAGUGGCAGUAGCUCCUCCUCCUCUGAUGAUGAUGAGAAACACAGCUAUUUAAAGGAGGGAAUCUCACUUUGAAUGAAAUGAACUCAGUAUAGCCAAACUUUUCUGGGAUUGUUGUGGUAGAUUGUUGAAGGUUUAGAUUAGAUGGCCCGGGAGAAAACUAGUGCAAAUCCAAGUGAAGAAAAGGCUAAUGAACAUCCUAAUUUUCUGGCUCAAGGAUUGCGUAAUUUCACCUCAUACUUCCCGAAGAAUGUUGGUUGGUCACUGCCCUCACUUUUACUUGAAGAAUGGAAGUUCAGUUCUUGGUUUGAGUUUAUGUGCCUGCCUUGUCUUUGAUGCAGCAGUUUAGUUUUGAAAAACAAUGAGGAUAAAAUCGGGAAUGCACACUUGUAUCUCUAGUUUCGUAAACGCAUACCAAACAGCGUGUUUAUGGAGGUGGGGAUAUGUGUCUGUGCAAACAAACAUAGGCCAGAGAUUGCUAACUCUAUCACUAAACCUGAUAUUGGAUAUUACAUCUUCUUAACCCAUGUUAGGCCAACAUGGGUAACAAACGAACCCUUAAUAUCGUUGAGAAUUGACUAUUUAUGUGCCGCGAUUAAAUGUAAAAACUGAUUAUUUAAUAUAUAGUCGAUAGUUUUGUUA